rnacentral:rRNA from 1 species
GAUGAACGCUGGCGGCGUGCUUAACACAUGCAAGUCGAACGAAGCACUUCGAUUUCUUCGGAUUGAGGAGUGACUGAGUGGCGGACGGGUGAAGUAACGCGUGGGUAACCUGCCUCAUACAGGGGGAUAACAGUUAGAAAUGGCUGCUAAUACCGCAUAAGCGCACAGUACCGCAUGGUACGGUGUGAAAAACUCCGGUGGUAUGAGAUGGACCCGCGUCUGAUUAGCUAGUUGGUGAGGUAACGGCUCACCAAGGCGACGAUCAGUAGCCGACCUGAGAGGGUGACCGGCCACAUUGGGACUGAGACACGGCCCAA